rnacentral:ncRNA from 1 species
AACGGGGUGCCGCGCAAGCGGCUGAGAUCAUACCCGAUGAACCUGUACGGAUAAUGCCGGCGUAGGGAGCAUAUGCU